GUCUCCGUUGGUGAACCAGCGGAAGGAUCAUUACAGUAUUCUUUUGCCAGCGCUUAACUGCGCGGCGAAAAACCUUACACACAGUGUCUUUUUGAUACAGAACUCUUGCUUUGGUUUGGCCUAGAGAUAGGUUGGGCCAGAGGUUUAACAAAACACAAUUUAAUUAUUUUUACAGUUAGUCAAAUUUUGAAUUAAUCUUCAAAACUUUCAACAACGGAUCUCUUGGUUCUCGCAUCGAUGAAGAACGCAGCGAAAUGCGAUAAGUAAUAUGAAUUGCAGAUUUUCGUGAAUCAUCGAAUCUUUGAACGCACAUUGCGCCCUCUGGUAUUCCAGAGGGCAUGCCUGUUUGAGCGUCAUUUCUCUCUCAAACCCCCGGGUUUGGUAUUGAGUGAUACUCUUAGUCGGACUAGGCGUUUGCUUGAAAAGUAUUGGCAUGGGUAGUACUAGAUAGUGCUGUCGACCUCUCAAUGUAUUAGGUCUAUCCAACUCGUUGAAUGGUGUGGCGGGAUAUUUCUGGUAUUGUUGGCCCGGCCUUACGACAACCAAACAAGUUUGACCUCAAAUCAGGUAGGAAUACCCGCUGAACUUAAGCAUAU
rnacentral:rRNA from 1 species